AUUGAACGCUGGCGGCAGGCCUAACACAUGCAAGUCGAACGAGUGGCGGACUGGUGAGUAAUGUCUGGGAACCUGCCCGAGGGAGGGGGAUCACUACUGGAAACGGUCGCUAAUCCCGCAUACACUCAGCUGUCCCCAGAUGGGAUUAGCUAGUGGGUGGGGUAAAGGCUAACCUAGGCGACGAUCCCUAGCUGGUCUGAGAGGAUGACCAGCCACACUGGAACUGAGACACGGUCCAGACUCCUACGGGAGGCAGCAGUGGGGAAUAUUGCACAAUGGGCGCAAGCCUGAUGCAGCCAUGCCGCGUGUAUGAAGAAGGCCUUCGGGUUGUAAAGUACUUUCAGCGAGGAGGCGUUACUCGCAGAAGAAGCACCGGCUAACUCCGUGCCAGCAGCCGCGGUAAUAC
rnacentral:rRNA from 1 species